UCCCCGAUAGUCUAGUGGUGAGGAUAUCUGCUUGUCACCAUGCCUUGAGUAGUUGAGCUCGGGUUGAUUCGCAGGGGACCGGGGUUCAAUUCCCCGUCGAGGAG
rfam:Colletotrichum sublineola strain TX430BB Scaffolds1044.1, whole genome shotgun sequence.